AAUUAAAUAAAUCAUGUCAAGCUUUCGUCUCAUUUAUUCUUUGCAUGAAGUUGUUUCGACUUCCAUCUACUGAAGGCAAUACAGAUUUUCGACUACCCAUGUGCAGUGACUAAUUCAUUUCAUAUCAUAUAAGUAAUUUGUGGCUUGUUAAACCAUUAGCAUAUUUACGGCUUGACAAACCAUGACACGGUCUAUGACUACGGUCGUUCUAAUAAC
rnacentral:lncRNA from 1 species